CUUCAGGCUGCUGGAUGGCCCUAAAAUUGUCCUGAGAACUUGACCUUGGCAAUGACCACGGAAACCAGAUACCAUCUGUCCUCACCUGAGCUGUAUCAGAAGUCAGCCAGAGACUACAACCAAACCCUUCCUGAGAACGGAAGUGCUGCUUUAGAAGACACUGGCUCACCUGAAUGGGCAGCUGUCCCCAGAGAGAGGAGGACCAGAAAGAGGGCUAAAGUGGCCUCCCACACACAAAGGGAGGAAAUGCUCCCCAUCCCCUUCCUGGAACAGCUGCACCAGGGGAUGCGUUCUAUGGAAGGAAGGAAGAGGAAGCUGCAACGAAGACAGCAAUAACAGAGAAGCCAAACACUCAAGAGAAAGCAGAAGGAAAGAAGAACUGGGACCUCAAAUUACCAAUUGUUGGGCCUUUAUGAGGAAGCAGAAAGGAAGACCAACUUGUAAAGAUUCCUGCAGUCCUGCAGUCUGAGGAUACCUUUGGGUUGGAGGAUUUUGAAUGAGAAAUGUUUGGCAGCCUGGGCAGUGUGCUUCUUUCAACACACAGAUGUUCAGAAUAGGUCUGCGUGUGUUGAUGUGGGAGGAUUCCCUCAACUUGAAACAAAAGGCUCUCUAGUAUGGGCAGAUAUUCACAAAAAAUACAUCUUACAUUUAUAUGUAGCAAUGAAGUAAUAAAUAUACAUAACUGUCCAUAUACACAAAGGAAAAACAUGAAGAACAUCCACACAUAACUCUUUUUUUUCUUUUUUCUUUUUUUGUACAAGGAAUCAAUCAGAUCUCACACUCACAAGACAGGCACUGUGCCACUGAGCUACAUCCCCAGCCCAACUCUUAAUGGUGAUUCCAUCUGAGAAGGCAGGGGUAGGCCAGGAAUGGAGAUGCACAUGCAGCUACCUUUUUAUUUACAAUGAGUAGCUGUUCUUUCCCCCUCAGAAAAGGUUUUUCAUACACAGCUGGCUAUUUUUUUGUUCCUAAUGAAUGGAGUUGCCAAUCCUUGCGUGAGGAAAUCAAAUGUGGUUGCAAAGUGGCACCUCUUUGCAUAUGAUGCCAGUGAUGAGACCCCGCCCGCACUCACUCUGACUCAGGAAUUGGCUGGUAGCAGCUCACUAAUGAUGUUACUGGUGCCAGGUCUCUGCUUGCCGUCUUCUUCUAGUGACAUCAGUGUUCACUUUCAGCAAAUGCACUGGCUUAGACUAUCCUGUUGAAGAACGUAGUCUGCAGCUGUGCCCCCUAAUGCCAGCAUCACCAUGGCCUCCAAAAGAAUGAAUUUGGAGGGGCUGGGGAUUUAGCUCAGCGGCAUACGCACCUGCCUUGCAAGCAGGCGGUCAUGAGUUUGAUCCCUGGUACCGAUAAAAAAAAAAAAGAAUGGAUUUGGCCUGCCUCUGUGCUCUACCUCUCUACCAUUUCUGUUUCCCACAUCAAGGAAUUCUCCAACAGUACACGUAAAAUCGAUGGAGGAAACACAGCUCUUCCCAUUUGGUCUUUUACACUGCUUCCACCUGUCUUUCUAAGAAACAGAACCUCCAGUGUUUUUAAAUAGGAGGGACAGUGAUUUGUGUUAGAUCGUCCCAUUGGUAGGAAGCAAGGUCAACCCCAAAUGAGUGGAUCUCAACCUUUGCAUAUUAGAGUCACCUAUUGGCUUUUAUAACACACCCAUCAUCUGUACUUACACAGCUAGUUGAACCUAACCUCAGGACCUAAAUAUCAAAAAGUAGAAACUUUCCAUGGGUGACUUUGUUACAUAGAAAACUGUACCACCACUGCAAUCCAUGGGUAAAAAUAAACCAAUCUUACUAAAAAUUGCCAUGUGUUAUGCACUGGCAGGGUUCAAAACUGAUGUGGUUAAGAACUACUGUGGUUGCACAUCUCUAAUUCCAACACUUGGGAGGCUAUGGCAGAAGGAUUGCAAGAUCAAGUCUAGCCUGG
rnacentral:lncRNA from 1 species